CAAUUUUCUAUUCAUCACAAGUGUUGCAUCUUCAAAUUGAACUCCUGUGUAUUGUGAUGAAGUCCUUAGGACUAAUUUAGUGGAUAAAAGAGGUUUUAUCAUUUAGUCCUUAAACCAGUUCGCGACCAAAUGACGAGCUGUCAAUUGGACGAUAGCUAUGUCAAGUAUAGAUUGUUGUGUGCCAUUUAGUUGGUUGUCCUCUUAAACCAAGGAGUGUGGAGACACUGUAUGGCAUACAGGUGAGAUGUAGGAGUACAUCGUCACUGAAUAGUGACUCACCUGCGUAGCACUCCACUGUCGGGAGUUAGCUCGUAAAACGUAUGGGCAUAAGUACCCCUUAGACCUGAGACUGUCACGGUGACUUACAAGCAACUCACUGUACUUAGGCACUGGAUGACCUGAAUUUCUAAUUUAGGGAUCGGAAGGAUGCUGGGUGCAGUCAAGU
rnacentral:lncRNA from 1 species